CCUACGGGGGGCAGCAGUGGGGAAUAUUGGGCAAUGGGCGCAAGCCUGACCCAGCAAUGCCGCGUGAAGGAAGAAGGCUUUCGGGUUGUAAACUUCUUUGACUGGGGAAGAGCAGAAGACGGUACCCUGAAAACAAGCCACGGCUAACUACGUGCCAGCAGCCGCGGUAAUACGUAGGUGGCAAGCGUUGUCCGGAUUUACGGGGUGUAAAGGGCGUGUAGCCGGGAAGGCAAGUCAGAUGUGAAAUCUGGAGGCUCAACCACCGAAUGGCAGUUGAAACUGUUUUUCGUGAGUACUGGAGAGGCAGGCGGAAUUCCUUGUGUAGCGGUGAAAUGCGUAGAUAUAAGGAAGAACACCAGUGGCGAAGGCGGUCUGCUGGACAGCAACUGACGGUGAGGCGCGAAAGCGUGGGGAGCGAACAGGAUUAGAUACCCGGGUAGUC
rnacentral:rRNA from 1 species